GUAUUCUUGAAGGGGUGCCUUACUGUCAGGCUGAGAUUAUACCCAUUGUACCGGAUACGGGUAAUGCUGAAACCGGGAAUCUAUAAUCGAUACGAC
rnacentral:ncRNA from 1 species